rnacentral:rRNA from 1 species
AACGUCCGUCGUGAAGAGGGAAACAACCCAGACCGCCAGCUAAGGUCCCAAAGUCAUGGUUAAGUGGGAAACGAUGUGGGAAGGCACAGACAGCCAGGAUGUUGGCUUAGAAGCAGCCAUCAUUUAAAGAAAGCGUAAUAGCUCACUGGUCGAGUCGGCCUGCGCGGAAGAUGUAACGGGGCUAAACCAUGCACCGAAGCUGCGGCAGCGACACUAUGUGUUGUUGGGUAGGGGAGCGUUCUGUAAGCCUGCGAAGGUGUGCUGUGAGGCAUGCUGGAGGUAUCAGAAGUGCGAAUGCUGACAUAAGUAACGAUAAAGCGGGUGAAAAGCCCGCUCGCCGGAAGACCAAGGGUUCCUGUCCAACGUUAAUCGGGGCAGGGUGAGUCGACCCCUAAGGCGAGGCCGAAAGGCGUAGUCGAUGGGAAACAGGUUAAUAUUCCUGUACUUGGUGUUACUGCGAAGGGGGGACGGAGAAGGCUAUGUUAGCCGGGCGACGGUUGUC